GUCCCUGUAGUGCAAUGGAUAGCGCGUUGGACUUCUAAUCCAAAGGUCGUGAAAUUCGAAUCCUACCUGGGAUG